rnacentral:rRNA from 1 species
UACAGGGGGUGCUAACGUUGUUCGGAAUUACUGGGCGUAAGACGCGCGCAGGCGGCUAUACAAGUCAGAUGUGAAAUCUCGGGGACUUAACGUCCGAAAGUCGCAAUUUGAAACUUGUAAUGGGCUAGAGUACAGUAGAGGUUGGUGGAAUUCCCAGUGUAGAGGUGAAAUUCGUAGAUAUUGGGAGGAACACCGGUGGCGAAGGCGGGUCUCUGGGCAGUAACUGACGCUGAGGGGCGAAAGCGUGGGGAGCGAACAGG